rnacentral:rRNA from 1 species
UGGAAGGGCCAUCGCUCAACGGAUAAAAGCUACCCCGGGGAUAACAGGCUUAUCUCCCCCAAGAGUUCACAUCGACGGGGAGGUUUGGCACCUCGAUGUCGGCUCAUCGCAUCCUGGGGCUGUAGUCGGUCCCAAGGGUUGGGCUGUUCGCCCAUUAAAGCGGUACGCGAGCUGGGUUCAGAACGUCGUGAGACAGUUCGGUCCCUAUCCGUCGUGGGCGUAGGAAAUUUGAGAGGAGCUGUCCUUAGUACGAGAGGACCGGGAUGGACAUACCUCUGGUGUACCAGUUGUCGUGCCAACGGCAUAGCUGGGUAGCUAUGUGUGGACGGGAUAAGUGCUGAAAGCAUCUAAGCAUGAAGCCCCCCUCAAGAUGAGAUUUCCCAACUUCGGUUAUAAGAUCCCUCAAAGAUGAUGAGGUUAAUAGGUUCGAGGUGGAAGCAUGGUGACAUGUGGAGCUGACGAAUACUAAUCGAUCGAAGACUUAAUCAA